rnacentral:rRNA from 1 species
UACGGGGGGGGGUAAGCGUUGUUCGGAAUUACUGGGCGUAAAGGGCUCGUAGGCGGCCAACUAAGUCAUACGUGAAAUCCCUCGGCUUAACCGGGGAACUGCGUCUGAUACUGGAUGGCUUGAGAUUGGGAGAGGGAUGCGGAAUUCCAGGUGUAGCGGUGAAAUGCGUAGAUAUCUGGAGGAACACCGGUGGCGAAGGCGGCAUCCUGGACCAACACUGACGCUGAGGAGCGAAAGCCAGGGGAGCAAACGGG